UUCCCCCCUCUACUGCACAUGCGCCGACCUGUGUUUAUAUGCGCUACUCGGCCCACUCCAAAACACUGGAAAAAUCGGUCCCCCCGAGCAACGUUGCCAGAUUGUCGUACUCAGCCUUUUAUGUUUGCCGAUUUCCGACCCAAUAAACUACUUUCAUCACCCAAAUAACUGCCUUCAUAUAUGGAUAUCGUUUAAAUGGUUAAUUAUUGGUGCUUGUUGACAACAGUUAUAGCCAGAAACCGGUAAUUACGCGGCUCUGGAGUACGAUAAUCUGGCAACGGUACCCUCGAGCCCCGAGCUCGCCUGCCUCACCUCAGCAGCCGCACCGUUUUUUUAGUAUGGUAUCUUACCUGUAUACAAUAGGUACAGGAUGUAAGCCAUGAAGUUGUGACCUCAUCUUCCCAGCAGGAGCAGAAGGCUAGCAAUCGCCUCCUAUAUGUGUAUGUGAUCCUGCGGCAGUGAAAGGCCGACAGUCCUGCCCUCCUGAGUGUGUGUGUUUUGUCUUGCUACAAGAUCAGAAACGGUUUGAGCCAUGCCAUGAAAGGGAGGAGCAUGCCGUCCCAACCCCCAGACAGUACAGAGUGUGAUUAUACAACUAAGGAUACAUGUGUAAGUAGCACCGGGAAUAAAAAAAACAUUAUAUCCUUGCAUGUAUCGAUAUUAUAUUUGGAAAAAUGUAUGUAUCCCUGAUAAUAAAAUUUAUCUAUAUGUGCUUAAAUUUAAGUGAAUGGAAGCAUAAGAGAGUAAAGUGAAUGGAAGCAUAGUGAGUAAUUAAAGGUCUAAAAAACGCUAUAUCCUUGUAUCUAUAUUAUAUUUGGAAAAAUAUACUUGUUGUAUGUAUCCCUGAUAAUUAAAUUUAUCUAUAUAUGUGCUUAAAUUUAAGUGAAUGGAAGCAUAAGUUGUGUAAUGUGUGCCCCCCCAGACCCCCAAAAUAAACUAUAAGCUAAAUCCCCCACACACAAUAAUGAACAUAAUCAAGUACUGGCAGAUCUUUCGUAAUAAAUCUGCAAUCGCUCCUUCAGACCUAUUUGUUCUAACUCCUGAUCUACCCACUAGAGUCCACCAGUACAAAAUAGCCUCCCAGAAUCCCUGGUCAUCCUUCAGUCUCUAUCUAUUUAAAUCUGCACUAGCUCAUCAUAUAGGGCAGGCUGGCUUCCUAGAGCCCCCGCCUCAUCAUGUGGAUUUUGGGGUUGGGAAGCCUAUCCUAACAUAACCUGGUGGGCGCCUCCCAAAACAUACUAACCUAAGGGAGUUGUUACAGUCUUCAUAAUAUUAAUCUAGAGCAUAUAAAGGUAUUUUGUAAAGGAUUGGUGACCAUAAUUAUUAAUGUGGCAGCAGUCUCGCCUAGGAAAUAACCCCAACAAGUGAUACAGAAAGAAGGGAAACCAAUUUACUGAAGGCUUUUAGUUGUACGUUUUGAUACCGUUGAUGAGGAUUCAGGCCCCGGUCCGCCGCCGCAGCAGCGCUCCACAGGGCCGCUAACAUUAUAACAGUAAUAUUAGCACCUAAAGUUGUCUUCAAUCCUUAUUUGUUAAGUCGUAGGACUUAGUGAAUAAGUGAGCCUUCAGCGCUUUCUUGAAGAUUGCCAGACUGUCACUGUUCUUAACAUCCCGGGUAACUCAUUAUAGAGCCUCGGGGCACUCUUCUCAAAUGCUCUGGAAACCCAGUUCCAGGUUGACCCUGGGCUCUUUGAGUCUAUACCGUUAUAUCCUGUUGUAUAUUACAGAUAGUAUGUUCAGAUAUGAGUAAAAAAAAAAAUCGUUAUACACAGUGGAAAAUAACAGGCAUGCAAAUGACAGAAUAAGGAGGGCGGACCGAUGUCUUGUCGGGGGACCGAUCAGUCUGCAGUAGAUGCGGGCCAGCUGGUCCCCCCUUUAAAUGGGGCGGGCCAACACGGGUCGGCGCAUGCGCAUUAGAGGGGGGAACAGGGGGGAUUGGGGGAACGUUCAGUCCGCCACAGUGGCGGCAGGCGUCCACCCCAUGGAGGUAUAUCCUCCAUGGUCCACCCAUCACGACAAGAAGCUGUCCUCCGCCUCACCUGCGCCUUCCUUAGGAAGACGAGGCAGCUGACGCGCCUGUGAAGCCCUCACAGGACGACACCAGGGCUCAUGUGAGCCGCACAGUGAGCGACUAGAUCGCCGCGGCCCUAAACAACAACAACAACAACAAUAUGGGUUAAGGUAACAAGAUGGCGGGUCAGCAGUGGUGUGGGUGCUGAGUUGAGGCCUGACACAGCUGUUUCAGUCAUGGCUGUCAGCCGAUGACUUACACUCAGCUGUCCGUCCAUGCUGUCACCACAUGGGGAAAAAAAGUUUAAAAAUCCCAGGCCGACCUGUCAACCAUUACUUUUCCGUCCGUGCUCUGUGACGUAAUAACAGCAAACCAUUCCUUCAUUAUAUAAUAUAUAUAAUGAAGGAAAAUAAAAGGAAGACCUCAAUAAUAAUAAUAAUAAUAAUAAUAAUAAUAAUAAUAAUAAUUAAAAAAAAUCAAUAAUAAUAAAAAUAAUAUUAGUACCAGUAAUAGGAAGACAACUACCAGGUACAAUUAUGUUAUAGUAUUAAUAAAGAUAACAUGGUAAUAAUGAAAUUUUGAAACUUCAGUAUUGCCAAAUAUAGUUUUAAAUGACAAAAUAAUAACAAAACUACUACUACUACUACUACUACUAUUACUACUAUUUAUAAGAGUAUGUCCUUUGAUAGCCUUACAUUAGUAUACCUUAUUACAUUUAAAGAUUCAGGGAGAGAGAGAAAGACCAAAACAGAUUUUCAUUAUUAUUUACUUUAUCCACAACAACAACAACAACAACAAGUGCUUAAACUCCCUGUGUUGUGAUUCUGAGGACACACACACACACACACACACACACACAUACACACACACACAAGCUGGCGAUCACAAGUCUAGCAUGCGAUCAGACCCGGACUCAGCACACACACACACACACACACACACACACACAAACACAAGCUGGCGAUCACAAGUCUAGCAUGCGAUCAGACCAGGACGAAGCACACACACACACACACACACACACACACAUACACACAAACACAAGCUGGCGAUCACAAGUCUAGCAUGCGAUCAGACCAGGACGAAGCACACACACACACACACACACACACACACACACACAAACACAAGCUGGCGAUCACAAGUCUAGCAUGCGAUCAGACCAGGACGAAGCACACACACACACACACACACACACACACACACACACAUUUGGCCUUCAAUCUUUAGCACAUGAGAUUUUAACACAUUUUUAAGCUCUUUGAUUUAUGCCAUACGAAAAUAUAAGCUUACGAGAUAUCCAAGCUCCCUCUAAAGCUUCUUCUAUACAGCUGAAAAUACUUAAAAAUAGACUUAUAUAUAUACACAGCGCUUGGUGGGUCAUUUCUAUGUAUAUGAAUAAAUUUAAUAUCGGGGAAUCUCAUAUGUAAAUGCAUAGCGGGUAUUCAUAAAAGCUUACGAUUACGAAAUGAACGCACAUCCGAGAGAGAGAAAGUAAGGUCAGGUUAGGCUAAAACGCGUGUUAUAUGGGGCUUUUAGUGUAGACAGGGCAACCGAAUUAGCUGAGCCGGUAUUUUGUUUUCGGUGGAAUUUGAUCCGAAUUCUUGCUGCCUGGGAGAAUUCAGAGACACAAGGAACAUGGCUACCAAUUCUCUUUUCUCUUCCUUCUAAGAUGCAUUCAUUCACUGGUGUUCUUGUCAUGGUUUUUUUGGUAGAAUUUGAUAACCGAAUUCUUGCUGCCUCGUAGAAUUCAGAGACACACGGGACAUGGACACCAAUUCUCUUUUCUCUUCCUUCCCAGAGCCAUUCCUUCACUCCUUCCUUCUCAGAUGCUACUCUUUACUCUUGUCUAUUAUGGGAGCGGCGACUAGCGGGCUUUUUUCUUUUUCACUCUUUUUGUUGCCCUUGAGCCAUCUCCUUAGAUGUAAAAAUAAUAAUAAAUAAAUAAAUAAGACUCGUGCCUUGUCAGACGCACUCAUUCAUUUGCGUUUUUAUGAUUUUUUUGUUCUCGGUACCAAAGCACACACACACACAGCUGGCAAGGCUUUCGUAGAAGCUUUGGGCAUUUCCAGAGGUAGCUUUAUGACCCUAGUGGUAGUUCGACCCUGAAAGAAUGUGAAAUAGAACCUGACUGAUCUCCUUUUCAGCCUUUGGAAGUAUAGUUGAUGCUUGAGAAUAAACCUCUAAUGCUCGUAUUUGAAGCUCUCCCUCACUAAGAAACCUCACCCACUGCCAACCUGAAAAUCAAUGGCAGCUUCUUCUUCUAAGCUGUUCAUCUCCUUCACUGUGUUCCAAGCUCUCCCUCACUAAAAACACCAGUCAUUGCUAAUCUAAAAAGCAACAGCAGGUUCUUCAUUUUCACUGUGUUCCAAGCUCUCCCUCACUAAAAAUGUCAGUCAUUGUCGAUCUAAAAUCCAAUGGCAGCUGCUUCUUAUAAACUGUUCCUCGCCUUCACUGUGUUCCAAGCUCUCAGUCACUAAGAAAUACCAGCCACUGCCAAACUAAAUCCAAUGGCAGACUCUUCUUAUAAACCGUUUCUCCCUUCACUGUGUUCCAAGCUCUCCCUUACUAAAAACGUCAGUCAUUGUUGAUCUAAAAUCCAGUGGCAGCUUCUUCCUAUAAACUGUUUCUCCCUUCAUUGUAUUGCACAGAAUUCACAACCUAUAAAUAUAAUACUUCUUCCCUUAUAAUUGCACUACGCUAUUACGGACAGAGAUGAUUAAGAAGAUGAAGACGAGGAAGAAGAAGUUAUUGAUGUAAAGAUGAAGAAGAAGAAAAAGAAAGAAAGAAAGAAAGAAGAGGAAGAAAUAAAUGAUGUAGAGAAGAUAAAGAAAAAAAAGAUACCUGAUGUGAAGAUGAUGGACAAUGACGAAGAAAAAGAAGAGAGAAUAAAGAAAAAGAAAGAAAGAAGAAGAGGAAAAAAUAAAUAACAGAGAU